AUUGAACGCUGGCGGCAUGCCUUACACAUGCAAGUCGAACGGUAACAGGUCUUCGGAUGCUGACGAGUGGCGAACGGGUGAGUAAUACAUCAGAACGUGCCUAGUAGUGGGGGAUAACUACUCGAAAGAGUGGCUAAUACCGCAUGAGAUCUACGGAUGAAAGCAGGGGAUCGCAAGACCUUGUGCUACUAGAGCGGCCGAUGGCAGAUUAGGUAGUUGGUGGGAUAAAAGCUUACCAAGCCGACGAUCUGUAGCUGGUCUGAGAGGACGAUCAGCCACACUGGGACUGAGACACGGCCCAGACUCCUACGGGAGGCAGCAGUGGGGAAUUCUGGACAAUGGGCGCAAGCCUGAUCCAGCAAUGCCGCGUGCAGGAUGAAGGCCUUCGGGUUGUAAACUGCUUUUGUACGGAACGAAAAGCCCUGGGUUAAUACCCUGGGGUCAUGACGGUACCGUAAGAAUAAGCACCGGCUAACUACGUGCCAGCAGCCGCCGUAAGAC
rnacentral:rRNA from 1 species